rnacentral:rRNA from 1 species
GGUACCGUCAAAUCACUGCACUGUUCAUACAGUGAACGUUCUUCCCACAUGACAGAGCUUUACGACCCGAAAGCCUUCUUCACUCACGCGGCGUUGCUGCGUCAGGCUUCCGCCCAUUGCGCAAAAUUCCUCA